AGAGUUUGAUCCUGGCUCAGGACGAACGCUGGCGGCGUGCUUAACACAUGCAAGUCGAACGAUGAAGCCCUUCGGGGUGGAUUAGUGGCGAACGGGUGAGUAACACGUGGGCAAUCUGCCCUUCACUCUGGGACAAGCCCUGGAAACGGGGUCUAAUACCGGAUAACACUCUGUCCCGCAUGGGACGGGGUUAAAAGCUCCGGCGGUGAAGGAUGAGCCCGCGGCCUAUCAGCUUGUUGGUGGGGUAAUGGCCUACCAAGGCGACGACGGGUAGCCGGCCUGAGAGGGCGACCGGCCACACUGGGACUGAGACACGGCCCAGACUCCUACGGGAGGCAGCAGUGGGGAAUAUUGCACAAUGGGCGAAAGCCUGAUGCAGCGACGCCGCGUGAGGGAUGACGGCCUUCGGGUUGUAAACCUCUUUCAGCAGGGAAGAAGCGAAAGUGACGGUACCUGCAGAAGAAGCGCCGGCUAACUACGUGCCAGCAGCCGCGGUAAUACGUAGGGCGCAAGCGUUGUCCGGAAUUAUUGGGCGUAAAGAGCUCGUAGGCGGCUUGUCACGUCGGAUGUGAAAGCCCGGGGCUUAACCCCGGGUCUGCAUUCGAUACGGGCUAGCUAGAGUGUGGUAGGGGAGAUCGGAAUUCCUGGUGUAGCGGUGAAAUGCGCAGAUAUCAGGAGGAACACCGGUGGCGAAGGCGGAUCUCUGGGCCAUUACUGACGCUGAGGAGCGAAAGCGUGGGGAGCGAACAGGAUUAGAUACCCUGGUAGUCCACGCCGUAAACGUUGGGAACUAGGUGUUGGCGACAUUCCACGUCGUCGGUGCCGCAGCUAACGCAUUAAGUUCCCCGCCUGGGGAGUACGGCCGCAAG
rnacentral:rRNA from 1 species